UUAAAUUAGAGUUUGAUCCUAGCUCAGGAUGAAUGCUGGCGGCGUGGAUAAGGCAUGCAAGUCGAGUGGGUUUAGACCCACGGCAGACGAGGUAGUAACACGUAGGAAUCUACCCUAGAGUCGAGCAUAUUC
rnacentral:rRNA from 1 species